GUGGUAGCUCAGUGGUUAGGACAUUGGUCUUCUCAUUGUAAGGUCUUGAGUUCAAAUCCCAGUACCACA